AUGAUUCAGGAGAAAGAUGGCACAAAGGAAAUCACCGCCAGCGAUGACAGUCUGUCGGAGGGGAAUGCUGCCAAGGAGACACACAUCUUUGGCGGUAUCUUUAAGAAGCCCCAGAAGCCAACGCAAGAGGACAGCUCAGAUAAAGAGGGGUCCAACCAGCAGGAAGAAGAAAAAUCAUCUAGCUGUGAAAAUCUCUCUGAGACCACUAAUCAAAAGGAGAAGAAAGGAGGUCUUUCCGGUUUAUUCAAAAGGUCCGCCAGCAUCGACAACCUGAAUGACAAUGAAGUGAGUAUGAGUCUAUUACCCAGUGUUCAUCGUUACCUAUUAUCCUCUUUACUUUGUUGUCUUUUAUUUACUAUGAAACACAAGCUCAGAUGUUUUUCUACUUCUCACACCCUAUUUUACAAGUACACUAACCUAGUCUGCAAGUGCGAGACUCUUGCAACACCUCCGUAUACAGGCUCUCGUUGUCAUUGUACACUGUGUUUACAUGUCUUCCAGGAGAAAAGUAUUUUCAGUGGCAUUUUUAAGAAGCCAGCAAAAGCCUUGGAAGGGUCUACAGCUGACGAGGUAUGCAGUCUUAUCUUUAACUUCACAGUGAGAAUCUCACUUCACACUGGGUGUGUGUGUGUGUGUGUGUGUGUGUGUGUGUGUGUGUGUGUGUGUGUGUGUGUGUGUGUGUGUGUGUGUGUGUGUGUGUGUGUGUGUGUGUGUGUGUGUGUGUGUGUGUGUGUGUGUGUGUAAAAUCGAUACCAGCUUUAAUUCUCUCUGUUGUGUGCAGGAUAUUGAAGGAAGAUUAUCCAUCAGUGGUGAUGAACUUUCAGAAACGGCCAAGGUACCUUCCUAUAAUCACAAACUUUUGGGUUUGCGUUUGACUCGAUGGUUAAUCUUUUUUAUAAUAUGUAUUUAAUACUCACACGAUAUGUUGCAGGAGAAAACGGGCGGGAUCUCUGGCAUGUUCAAACGCUCCCCCAAACCAGCUCCACGUUCCCUGGUCGCCAAGGUGAUAAUAACCAUAGCUUCACUCUACGCUGGCCUCUUCAUUUGGUCACCUGACAUUAGAAACACAAAGGGGAAGUCUGACUUUUGCCGGUUUGAACACGAUUUAUCUUCCGACAUGCCGCUUUUUAAAACCCUUACUGCGUGAUGUGAACCAAAUAACGCAGACGUGCACGUUCUUUUUACAUCCAGUCCCUCCCGCCCACCAGUGUAUGUUGUACCUCCUGGCACUUACGUUGUAUUUAUUCAUAGUACUUAAUUGUGUAGCAUCUGCAGUAGUGAUUGUUAGUACUUGUACUUGGUUCUAUGAACAUCCUUACUGUACCGACAGCGAUAUAUUGUUUCACUUCUUAUGACAAAUGUACUUAUUGUAAGUGGCUUUGGAUAAAAGCGUCUGCUAAAGGCCCUAAAUGUAAAUGUUUUACAGGACCCGCUCCAAGACACAAAUGAACUUGGCGAGAGUGACGAUGAAAGUCUGGCAGUGAAGGUGAGCCCUACCUGCCGACGGACGCCGCCCCGGCCUGCGGGGGCCUCAAGCGGGUGUAGCUCAACGGGUCACAAUCCACCAACGAGUGUCUUUCUCUUCAUUUCAUAGGAUACGAAGACUUUACUGUCCGCCAGCAAUGACAGUCUGAACGAGGUUUCCACCACAAAAGUAAGCCUUGAGUCACUUAAUAUGAACCCUUUUUUAAUGUAUUAUUUUUUAGCAAAAUCUUUCUCACAAAUGUAUAUUGUAUGUUUUAAUAUUUCCUUGUUGUGUGUGUGUGUGUGUGUGUGUGUGUGUGUGUGUGUGUGUGUGUGUGUGUGUGUGUGUGUGUGUGUGUGUGUGUGUGUGUGUGUGUGUGUGUGUGUGUGUGUGUGUGUGUGUGUGUGUGUGUGUGUGCGCUACCUUUUACUCAGGAGAGGAUGAGAGCUUUUGGUGGGAUGUUCAAGAAGGCCCCAAAAGCAGUGGAACAACUGGUAGGCACACACACACCCUUGGCAUGUCCCCCAUAAAGAAACACGUUAAAGUCUUAUCAUG
ensembl:lncRNA